UGGAAUGAAAAGGUUACUCAUUUGGAUAGAAAUGCAUUUUCAAUAGAUGUUCAAAUAACAUUGUAAUUAGGAAUAUAUUUUAUCAAUUUUGGCAGGCUCUUUACCUGUUAUGAGUUUAUAACUCAAUCCCAAUAGAUCUAGUUGAAUAUACUAAGCACUUUCAGAAAUGACUCUUGAAAUUAUAGGUAUUCCUUGAUUUACAACCAUUCAUUUAGUGACCAACUGAAGUUAUAAUGGCACUUUAGAAAGUCACUUAUGACAAUUUUUCACACUUAUGACCAUUGCAACAUUUUGGUCACAUGAUCAAAAUGGCAGCUUGGUAGCAGUUCAUAGUUAUGAUAGUUGCAGUGUCCCGGGGUCAUAUGAUCACUUUGGCAACUUUCUGACAGGCAAAGUCAAUGUGGAAACCAGAUUCACUUAACAACUGCAGUGAUUCCCUUAACAACUAUGGCAAGAAAAUGGGGCAAAACUCACUUAACUGUCUUGCUUAGGAACAAAUGUUGGGCUCAAUUGUGGUCAUAAGUCAAGGACUUCUUGUAUCUAUAUUUUAACAGACUCUUUAAAUCAGGUCAGGACUUGUGUUUGAUUUGUAAAACAAUAUCAGGUUACUGGUGGUAGUAGUGUAUACAUGAGAGAGCCAUUUUUAUGUAAUGGUUAGGGCAUCAGGCUAGAAACUGGGGGACAGUGCGUUCUAGUCCCACCUUAAGCACAAAGCCUGGGUCAGACAUUCUCUCUCAGCCCUAGGAAGUAGGUAAUGGCAAAUCGCUUCCAAUAAACCUUGCCAAGAAAACUGCAGGGACUAGUAGAGACUGUGGCCAGAAGUCAAGACUGAUUUGAUGUAUAGUGACUACUGACAGUUUACAGAAAUAAAACCUAAAACUACAAAAAUCAGUGAAUGUCUACCUCCUGACCACCACAAUCAAAUAAACCACUUGAUUAGCUCUGGAUCAUUUUGAAAUCCCCAGGUCCCCUGGCAAAACCACACAUCUUCAAAACUUUUUGAAAGACUAUCAAGGAAGUCCUUUGUGGAACAGAACGUAGAAAAGUGGAAAUGGAGGGAGAGUUGGAAGACUAUCAAAGUGAAGCUGCCAAUGAAUUAGUCAGCUCAAAAAAUGGAAAUUGGAAAAGAAAAACAAACAGACAGUGGCAGAAAAGGUAGAUUCCAGGGAGAAAAAGAACUGAGCUGAGUGCAAAAAAAGUACACAAAGGACUAGAUGGACUGAAAUAAUUUUAUUAUUUUGAUUAGAACUUGACCAAAGAAGAGAAGAAUCUAAAUAAAAGAUUAAAGGUGUGAAAAAGUUUGUGCCAUCUCUACAGUUUGCUGGAUUGCAGGACAAAAAGUGGGAGAAGGGGCAAGCUAAGAAUCAUGUAUCAUUUAAUUUAAAUUAAAUUAAAAUUAGACAUAAAUGUUAUAAAAACUUUAAGGAGUGACACCGAAAGUAUAUAAACAAUACAUUUGUGCUUUAACUUAAUAUUUUGAUUUUUUUAAAACCUAAGAAUGAGUUAAGGAAUUUAUCUGAUCAAUGUUUAUAAAUAAAUUAUUUUUAAAUUUGUUACUCAGAUUGCAAAAUUUGGUUAAAUGCCCAGUGUAGUCAAUUCCAAAAAUGUAUAAAGAUAUGUUUAUUCAGUUGCAUAUGAAAAGACAUGCAUCACGAAAAGCUACAUAUAAUAAAAGAUGCAACUUGUUCUGCAGCAAAGAGAUUGCUAUCUGUUUCUUUGAUUAUUGCACGAGUGAGAUGGAGAAGAAAUUGUGUGAGAUCCAUUCCUGUUUUCCCUUCAUGCAUUACUGUCUGAUACAAACAGUAGGAAAAAGUCUAUAGAAGAUGCUAACAAAUAAGGGCAUAUUUCAGUUGAUGCAAGUUGGAAAAACAAUAAUAGGGACCAUAGAAAUGGAAAUGAAAACAAGGAACUUGGUUAGUUGGUUUUCUUGCUUUCCUUUACCUUCACAGUUUAGAUUAUACUUACCAUGCCAAUCAUAUAUGGUUAGUAUUUCUAAUAAAGGAGACAAUAUUAUGUUUCUAGAAAUGGGGAAAAUAAUCAAUAAAAUUCCAACAAUAUGUUUAUAAAACACUGACAGAUCUAAAUUUAAUGAAAGGGUGUCACAUGAAUAUUAUUUUUGGCAGCUUCUAAUUUAGCAAAGUCCCUGUGCUAAACCAAGAUUAAUUACAAAAUCCUUUGCCUACUUAUCUAUAUUCUAUGAACUUGGCAGCAAUGUCUGAAAAAGUAAUUUAAUUAUACUAAGUUUAUUGUCCUUGACCCUUAUCCUGUUUUUACAAACAUACAUAGUAAGAUUUGUGUGUCCCAAAAAGUAACAGCAAUUUACAAACUGGGUGUAGGCCAGAUCAUCUUCUCUCAAUAAGCAAUUUCAACCAUUCCAGUUGUUGUUUACAAUGUUAUUUCCCAAUGUAGCAGCAAUGUUGCUGGGACAGGAGCCUCUGCAGUAACUAACCUGAAAGAUGACAGAACUCCAUAAAACUGGAUGACUUCUGACCCAACCAGCAGAAAAAUGGAAGAAAUCCUGGAUCUUUGCAAUUUGGGGUACGGAUGGUAAGUUUGGAUUCUGGAGUAAUCACCUAUGAGAAAUAUGGAGGAUUUUUCUAACUUAGAACAUUGUGCAGCCUCUGAAAACUGCGAUAGCGUACCCAUUCUCAUUUGAUUUUCAAAGAUUGCAGAAGCUACCUAAAAAUGACUUCUGGAGAAUUCAGAAGCCACUUAAGAGCACAGCCCAUUCUCAGGUGUUUCUACAGCCACCAAAAAUCACAUGAGAAUAGGACAUAUUUUCAAGAAUAGUUGGUGGGUUUUAGUGGAUGCUGAACUGUCACCCAAAAUGUUGUGAUAUGCCAUCUUUAACAAGCAUUUCAUAGGCUCGUCGUUACUGUUCAUAACCCUAGUUUCUCUAGCUGGCAUCUUAAAAGUCUUAACAUUGAGUUGAGAUUCAAAGUUUAUAUCAUCCUUCUUGUGCAUAUUUGUAUCAUCAGUGUUUGUGUUUGUAUUUUUCUUUGUAUUUGUUCUUUUUAUGCUAUGUAAUUGGUGGGUAUCUCAGUUGAUUAUGGUAAUAGUAUUAUUAAUAUUAUAUAAUUAUGGACUGUUAUGUUUAUUUCUGAUGCAUAAUAUUGACGACAAACUUUCAUCCGCUAGGAAAUGCAAAUAUAGUAAAACAACAAGAAUAUACUGUAUAAACUGUAGUUAUGGUAAACUACAAAGAGGGUAUGGUAAAGAGGGUCUGAAAGUUUGCUGAAUACUUGCCUUAAAUUUGGUUGAGAAUUACAACUUUUCCUUGUGUCUCACUUGGAUUUGUAGAUCAUUGUAAAAAUUGUUAGGUUGAUUAAAAAAACAAUCCCAUUCCUAUGUUUCAUUUUAUUUCACAUCUUUUAUGAACAAAUUAGGAAAUAUAUCUCAUAAACUGGAAAAAAAUGUACAUAUUUUUAACAGCAAAACAUUGUUUGACCUCAUAGCAUCCUUAAAACUUCCCAUUUUUCAAAACACAUUCAGCAGUGUGGAGAGCAGCAUGCUCAUAAUUCAUUCAUUACACCCUGCAUAGAAAAGGCAACAUUUUAAUGUCCAAAUUCUUUUCCUGUUAGCAUGCAAUCCAAUACUUAACCCCCCCUUUUUUUAUAGCAGUGGGAAUUUUUUUUUAAAUCAAAAAGUAAUUCCUAAAAAAAUCUGAGUAAAAUCUGAAAAGUCAGUUUCAUAUAUUAUCACAGCCAUUAAAAAUUACUCAGGCAAAAAAAAAAAAUCAAAUGUGAUAAUACAUAUCUUCCAAAUGUGCAAUUAUAUAACUUCAGUUAAUGGGAAUCAAA